rfam:Dipodomys ordii contig_77701, whole genome shotgun sequence.
GGGAAUGUGGCUUAGUGGUAGAGUGUUUGCCUAGCAUGCAAGAAGCCCUUUUCCU